rnacentral:lncRNA from 1 species
AGCACAAGUACAUUAGAAAGGAUCUUUAUUUAUACUCUUCUGGGCACCAAAAAAUGGGAUGAAGGCAGAACUGACAGACUCUCUACAUCUGCUGCACGCAUUGACCUCUUUAAUUAUUUCAUAAACAGCUAUGUCACGAGCAUCACUUACACAGAGAUACAACAGAACACCAGGGGAAGGCUGAGGGCCGAGGGCCGAGGGCCAGGGACUGCUCCCACCAACCACCCACCCACCUACUCACAGGAUCCUCUCACUCCCGCCCUCUCCCUGUGAUGUCGCAGAAUCAGACUGUGAAAUGUACACUGCUUAUUGUCAAUAAAUAGAGAAGCGACCUGAAACAAAAUAAAACAAAAAUAAAAUAAUGGAAGGAGGCUGAAACCAGAACAGAAAGGGGAAAGGUCUUUUUUUUUUUUUUUUUUAAAUAGGGAACUUUUAGAAAAACAGAGUUGGGAGGUGGAAGGAGAAACGCAUAGUCUGGGGGAAACAAAAGUCCUGCAUUUAGCUGCAUGGAAUGUGGAAUCAAACGCUCUGCCUCUGGGGCCAAAGCCAGAUCUCUGUAACAGUAAGAGUUUUGUUGUUGUCAUUUUUAAACCAAAUCUUCUACAGAGUUUAUUCUUCUGUAUGAAUACAUGAUUUCCCACAAAUAGGUAAGCACCCGCUACUUCAAUGCCUCAGCUAAAACACAUGAAAUCGCUCAUUUAGUUUUCAAGUACAAAGUUAAAAUGCCUUUUUAAUAAUAAUAUAUCAGAGUAAAAUAAUAGUCUCUUUUAAACUCCACUACAAGAAAACAAAACAAACAGUCAUUGUCCAGACAGCAGACUUAAUUUAACAAUAUAUAUUUUUAAUAAAAUGUGUUUUUUUUUUGUUUUUUUUUGUUUUUGUGUUUUUUUAGCACCUUGUUGAUUCACCUACUCCCGCUGUGUCUUCUAAGGAAUUUAGGCAUUUCUUUUCCUCUCUCAUUUUGUUGACAUUUAGGGCUGUUCAACAAAAUUGCUUUACAAAAUGAAAUGUGACAUGUUUCCAAUUUCCCUGUUCAUCUCCCCAGGUUCAGGACUGGAGACCGCUUGAUCUAGCAUUAGGUAAAGCUACCCCCUUCCAAUCUGGGCUCAUCCGAGGUGAGAAUUUCCAGUUACUGGAGUCAACAGGGAUUUGCCCAUUCCUUACUGGCCUCCAUUUCUGGGGAGGGUUUGGGGAGACACGUGGCAAAUCACAGAUGCUAGUCAUGGGACCCUCCCUGACCCCACUGCCUCUGAGCCGCCCAUUCCUCCCUGCCCCAAAACUCCAUUUUUUGGGGCCACAGCUAAGCAAGAGGCCACCAGAGACCAACCUUAGUUGGCAUUUCUGAAAAACAGGUGCAAGGGAAUGAGUAGACUCUCUCCCUUCCCUUUCAUCCCCAUCCUUCCUUUACCAAAAUGUAAAGAUUUAAGAGCUGGUGCUUAGGGCAGUGGGGUUGAUCCUUUGUGCUAUGUAUCCUUUAGCUGUCUCUCCCCUUCCAGAUACCCCUGGAGUUGACCACCCACUAUGGUCACCUAGAACAGUUGGAUGGGUGGAAUUCUCACCCAACUGGCGCUGAUGAAUCCACAGUCUCAGUAGGGUAUGAGAAAAUGGGAAGCCCCCUCCCUGAUAACCUCUGUCCUACUUGGUACUGGAGAAAGGACCUGGAUUCCUGCCUGGUUAUAUAACCCAAGGGGUCCCCAUCACCCCAUUUACUUGAUGAACAAGGGCAGUACCUACUAGUCAUUUACUGUCUCCACCAUACCAGAGGACGCCUGACAACAAGGUCAAACGACUGAUCCGCCAGGACCAAAGCACCAGGUUGGGUUUCCGGACUGUCUUCUCAGCCCAGGUUCUAUUCCUACCUAGGGUUCCUCACCACUAGCAACUCUGGAUCUUACUACCAGGUAAAUGAGAGAAGAGAGCUAGCUUAGCUUCAUAUGGGAGGUGUCUCUGAAGGUUUGAGGGGAAGAAGUAGUACCUUCCCAUUGGGAUCCUCCUAGACCCAGCACAAAAUUAGGCCAAUUUAACAAGCCCACCAAAGUUUCAAUACUGCCAGUCACAUAUGAACACCUGCUCUUUUGGUGCCAGAAACUAUCCUUGGAAGCCCACCUCAUAAGCAACUUUGCUUUCCAAUGGGAUGUUCAGCUGCAAAGAAAAAAAGAAAAGAAAAGAAGAAAAGGGAAAAAGAAAAGAAAAGAAGGCAUUUGCUUUCAGGUAUAAGGAGAUCAGAAGUGGCAACUCAGCAUCCCUAUUCCAUCUCAUGUUUUCAGAGGGGCUGGAUCCAGAAACUUGGAUCUGCCUGUUGGUUUACCUCUUCCACCACAUAUAAUUUCCCUAGCUCACUCUGACCCUAACCCAAGGGUUUAAUACCAGCUAACAUAAAGCCCUUCGGGUUCUCAGCAGCAGCCCAUUAGACUAACCCUCAUUUGCGCUUUGCCUCAGUCAACAGCUGCAUUCUUUGGCACUGUGCCCUACCAAGCACUGGCAGGGUGGCUGGUCUGUCCCCUGAAGCCCUCAUUUUUACAGCAUUGACAGAUGUGGCAUCAGGGAAGUGACAGAAAUAGUAGGAACAAUUUGAGUCGAAUCCUGUCCCCUCCCUUUCUGUGAUUCUUACAAACCACCGCUCUUUCACAGCCCAGCUUCCCUCAUGAAUGAAGCCAGCCGGAAGUGCUCCCUACUCUCUGCUGAAUUUAUAGGGCCCCACACAUCAUCCCCCUACCUCAAGGCACUCACCCUCUCCUCUGGAAAGUACUCUGUAAACCACCUGCAAUCAGGACUCAACAGCAACCCAGAGGAGCCUACAAUGCCUGAGGGAAGCAACUUUUUAUGGAAAGCUUCUAGACAGGCAACAUCAAGACUUAGCACAUUCAACCUAUUUGCCCCCAUGUCCUUCUGUCCCAAUAUUCCCCCAUCAACUAUGGAGGCGUGAGUCAUUAGGUCCAACUUCUACUCUGAUCAACCUGGAAACAGGUGUGUGCAAACAGCUCCCAAGACUAUUUUGCCCUAUACUUUUAUCCAGCCAGAUCCAGACAAAUGACUCCAGUCCAUAAUUUUCUCCUCCUGGGCAAGGGGAUGUUUCCCAUUACAACUUUCUGCUCUCUAAAUUUUCAAAGAAUAGGAAAGUUGGCCACUGAAAACCAAGCUCCCAAUCCCUCUCUUCAAGACUUCUGAACAGCCAUCAUUUAGAAAGCAUUGCCAAGCCACCAGAAUAGAACAAAAGGGUGAGGUCCUCUCCCUCAGAGGGGGUAGGGAAUCUAAAAUCAACCCCCCUCUAAGAGCAGAAUGCAUUCUGGGAGGACAACAUCCUCACAGAAGAAUCUCCAGAGUGGGAUAUGGGGCCAAAACUGUCCCCAAACCUAAAAGCCUAGCCCAUAGGAUGAUGGGAUAGCAUGCUUGGUUGGAGAGCUAUCAAGAGCUCUCCCCCCCACCUUAAUUAAGUUUUUAAUACCAAUAUCACUGGGAAGGGCAUAAGGCUUGGCUAAUAUGAGCUUAGCCCAAGUCCAUCCAGAUCAUUUUUUAAAAAUUCAACAUUUUUAAGCACAAGUCUGGGAAACGGACUAGACUAUAUUGUAUCAAGAGCAAGGAAGAGGCUUUGGUGCUGAGGAGCGGAGGAUUAGUGAGCAGGAUUUGGGAGGGCCCUGCUGGCAUAAAGCUGGGCACAGCAUGAAGGGAAACAGUUAAAAGACACUGGGGACUGGGAAGACCUUGGAAACAAGUGUCGGCUAUGAGGGGAGGGAGCACCUUGGACUACUCAAGAGCAGCCCACCUCCUCCACUAGCCACUCCUAGAGUGGUGCUGGUGGCCUCCCAUACCAGGGUGGGAUGGGGAAGGGAAGUGAAGCCCAGCUGGAUAUAGAAGGGAGAUAAAAGGGAGCACCACAAAGAAGAAUAGGAAACCCAACACCAAACUCGUCUCCAGUGGAAAACCAAUCAUGAUCCAAGAGGAGAAAACAUCCAACACCACUUACAACAUCAUCCCUAGACUUAAAGGGAUGAGUAGCUUAGUGUAGUUAUUAAAUGCCAAUUUAAACAGAAGUUGGGUCUAGACUACUGGGGAACCAAGGCCCAGACAGCCCAAAUGACAGCAGGAGCCUCUGGACAUUAUCCUGGAUGAAUGGACACCAGCUGUGGUGUUUCAAGGCCCACCUCAGGCAUCUAUCUCCCCUCCCCCCCCCCAGCUGCUCUGCUUGUAUUGGCCCAAGGCUCACUUUCCUAUUUCCUCCAAGAAAUCCCUUAGGCUAAGGUAGAAAGCCAAGAAAGAUGGAUGAGAAGGUUGUCUUGGGUUGCACCUUGGAAUCAGAUGUUGGGAUCCAGGGUUUGCUAGCUUGGGACCUUCCCAUACUUCAUGGGAGGUGUUAAAGAGACAAAAGUGCAGACUAUCAUUUGGAUGGGGGUGUCUCUUAGCUAAAAUGUCAGCUGAUCCAAUCUCUCCCCUACCACCUGUAGCACCUUGGGAACUCGACAGCUCCUGGAUGGCAUGGAGAGCCCCCCCUCCAAAAGGAAAAAAAAAGGUUUAACUGCAUUCAAGAGGAUAGCAGGGUCGAGGUAAGUGGUUGUACGGGGCUCUACUCCAUGAAAUAUUGAAUCUUGGGGAAAGGUUAUGUCUGUGUGUAUAUAACAGUGCAGCUGUAACUGUGUAGAAGUAUGUUUGUAUGUAAGAGAUAGAUUGAUUCGUAUGGGGCUAUCUAUGCCUGCCUGUGGCAAGGAAAGAGAAGGGUAGAGAGAAGCCAUCUGCCCCCUCUCUCCCACUGCAUUAUAUUUCAUAUAUAUGUCCCUAUCUAUGUAUUUAUAUAGUGCCUAUCACCAGAGGUCCAAUCCUUCUGGGGAUGGUAAUAUGGGACCUUGAACUUUAGAGAAUACCUCCCAUCUCUGCAGGUCCCAGAAGGCUCCAUCCCCCCUCCCAUUAUAAAAUAUAUAUCUCUAUAUGCCACAUAUCUACACCCCAUUUAUUGAGGCAGGCAUCUGCCCAUUGGCUCAUACCCUGGAGCCACUGAGUGUUUCCUCUCCCUACAGCCCGGGCCGGGCCACUGGGCCCCUGUCUGCCAAAGUAGGAAGUGGGCCAAGUCUCUGGAACCAGGACUUGAAGUGUGGCUGACUCGAGGUUUAAAAAAAAAAAAAAAAGGAAAACCAACAACAAAAAAAACAAAAAACAACAAACAAAAAUCCCCACAAAAAAAAUCCAAAAAGAUGAGAGUGCAGCCAUCAUUAGACCAAGUAGUAGGAGGAGGGACAGAGGAGGAACCACACAUACAAUUCACAUCACAUUUAAAAGGAAAGAGAAAGACUGUCCCUUGUCCUUCCUCCCUCCAACUCUUGAUAUUCCUUAGACUUAAGAACAAAGGGAAAGCUGAAGGAGGAGAGGAGCAGUGGAACUCCAGAAGGCAGACUUUUCAGGGACUGGUGAGCUGCCAAAUUAGCACUGUACAAAGGGGAGUAUGGGCCUGGCCUGAGAAGGGAGGGGAGGGGGAAGCCAGGAUUCCUAGGAACCAGGACACUGAAGCCACCAGGAAGAAAAAAAAAAGCACCCUUUUUUCCCCACCCUGCUCCCUGCACCUUGGUAUUUAGCCUAAAGGGAAGAGGGAGGGUAGUAUUGGGCUUAUUGUUUUUCCCAAAGGAAAAAAAAAUUUAAACAAACAUAAUCAAAAUUAGAACCAUAACAACAAUUAUAAUAAACCAUAUCAUCAGCUUCCCAGUAUAAAACUGUAGCCUAUGUUUGGAGAUGACUAAAAACAUCACUCCUCGAGGAGCUAGGGGCUGCCUUGUGCAGGGAAAGGGCAGAUGGAAGCAGGACAGGGGAAGGUACUUUCUCAUAAAAGAACACACAAAAGGCGACUUAGACAGAAAAGCACCAGUACUUUUUGUAUGUUUUUUUAUUUCCUCCAGGAUGGGGUUUUAGCUGUCCAUAUCCCCCAGACUCUGGAUGGUUACCGUGCCCCUCCAUGAGAUAUCCUCCAGUUAGUAGAAUGACUCAAGUAGGGGAACUGGGAACCUAGUCUUCCCUUGCCCCUGCCAUCUAGCCCAGGGAGUUUUCCUUUUGGGAAAUUAAAACAAAACAAAACAAAACAAUUAUUGCAUGACUCAGGAAAAGUUGUCUCCUAUUGGAUGUCUCAAUAUUCUUAAUACCCUCGACCUCUUCCCUACCCCUUUUGGUAGGGAGAAAUGGGAUAUAGGGGGAUUAUUUCCUAACCCCCUUUCUUCACCAUUUAAAAAAUUAAAAUAACAUAAAAUAACAAUUAAAAAAAAACCAUCACUCCCUUUUUCUCCAUUCUAGGUUAAAACCCUUUGCACAUAAGGCAACAUGGAAGGUGAUGUUUUUACUCAUCUCGCUGUUGAAAAGCACCAUUAUGAAGUCGGGUUGUACAGUAGUAACAGUACCUUUUUAUAUAUAGAUAUAUAUCUUGUAUCUAUCAUAUAUAUAUAUAUAAACUGUAAACAAGAGGUAACAGCGGCUUCUACAAACUGAUUUUCUUCAAGGUUUCCUGUGUGGUAGGCACCUGAAAUACUGUAUAAAAGUGUAUUGUGUGGGUGUUUUCAUCUUCCCUGUUGCUAGUUGGGUUUCACUUUGUAUUACCAGGAAUGGUGCUGGUAAAAUACCACUCAGUGGCUGCAGGUGACCUUGGCUGCCACUGCCUGCCAGAGUGUCUCCCUAGUUUUCUGUUCCUGCUUGUGCUCCUAAUCCAAUCAGACCCAAGCCAAAACAAAACAAAACAAAACAAAAAAAUGAAAACAAAACCCAAAACAAAAAA